rnacentral:lncRNA from 1 species
AAAUUUUAAAUAAUGAUCCGAAUAAAAAUAUCACACAUGAAUCAAGGUGAGGUUGUUAACCCAUCCGGAUUUUUAGGAGUGGAUGUUAUAUUAGGAAUGAUAUAUUAUAAAUCUAUAUUAUUAGUAAUAAAUGAAUUAACUAAUUUCUAGUGAGGGUCCAUUUUUAAAAAAAUCAUACAUGAAUCAAAGUUGUGACUUCUGUUUUAAUAUAUAAGAUGGUAUACUUUGGAAGAAAAAAAAGAAUAAAGGAUUUUACCACCGGACGCGGUAAACCAGUUGGUUUAAGCGAAAGCUUUGGUGCUGUUACGCUUCUUGUUCUAAAUUCGGUGGGAGAGAAGCUUAUACUAUACCUUGGUAUAGAAAGAGCAAAUUCUCCGCCUAAGAGAAUAUUUGUG